rnacentral:rRNA from 1 species
UACGGAGGGGGCUAGCGUUGUUCGGAAUUACUGGGCGUAAAGCGCGCGUAGGCAGCUUAGCAAGUUAGAGAUGAAAGCCCGGAGCUCAACUCCGGAAUUGCCUUUAAAACUGCAAAGCUAGAAUCAUGGAGAGGUGAGUGGAAUUCCGAGUGUAGAGGUGAAAUUCGUAGAUAUUCGGAAGAACACCAGUGGCGAAGGCGACUCACUGGACAUGUAUUGACGCUGAGGUGCGAAAGCGUGGGGAGCAAACAGG